AUUGAACGCUGGCGGCAGGCCUAACACAUGCAAGUCGAGCGAGCGGCGGACGGGAGAGUAAUGUAUGGGAACCUGCCUGCUGGAGGGGGAUAACUACUGGAAACGGUAGCUAAUACCGCAUACCAUCAGAUGUGCCCAGAUGGGGUCAGCUAGUAGGUGGGGUAACGGCUCACCUAGGCGACGAUCCCUAGCUGGACUGAGAGGAUGACCAGCCACACGUGAACUGGGACACGGGCCAGAGUCCUACGAGAUGCAGCAGUGGGGAAUAUUGCGCAGUGGGCGCAAAUCUGAUGCAGCCAUGCCGCGUGUGUGAAGAAGGCCUUCGGGUUGUAAAGCACUUUCAUCGGUUGGGCGGUACCCGCAGAAGAAGCACCGGCUAACUCCGUGCCAGCAGCCGCGGUAAUAC
rnacentral:rRNA from 1 species